CCUACGGGUGGCAGCAGUGGGGGAUAUUGCACAAUGGGGGCAACCCUGAUGCAGCGACGCCGCGUGUGGGAAGACGGUCCUCUGGAUUGUAAACCACUGUCCUCAGGGACGAAGAUGACGGUACCUGGGGAGGAAGCUCCGGCUAACUACGUGCAAGCAGCCGCGGUACUACGUAGGGAGCGAGCGUUGUCCGGAAUUACUGGGUGUAAAGGGAGCGUAGGGGGGGAUGAAAGUUGGGUGUAAAAACUACCGGCUCAACUGGUAGUCGCACUCAAAACUGCAGCUCUUGAGUGAAGUAGAGGCAGGCGGAAUUCCUGGUGUAGCGGUGAAAUGCGUAGAUAUUAGGAGGAACACCAGUGGCGAAGGCGGCCUGCUGGCGUUUUACUGACGCUGAGGCUCGAAAGUGUGGGGAGCAAACAGGAUUAGAUACCCUUGUAGUC
rnacentral:rRNA from 1 species